rnacentral:rRNA from 1 species
AGUACGGCGAGUGAAGCGGCAAAAGCUCAAAUUUGAAAUCUAGUACCUUCGGUGCUCGAGUUGUAAUUUGUAGAGGGAUACUUUGGGGCCGUUCCUUGUCUAUGUUCCUUGGAACAGGACGUCAUAGAGGGUGAGAAUCCCGUGUGGCGAGGAGUGCGGUUCUAUGUAAAGUGCCUUCGAAGAGUCGAGUUGUUUGGGAAUGCAGCUCUAAGUGGGUGGUAAAUUCCAUCUAAAGCUAAAUAUUGGCGAGAGACCGAUAGCGAACAAGUACAGUGAUGGAAAGAUGAAAAGAACUUUGAAAAGAGAGUGAAAAAGUACGUGAAAUUGUUGAAAGGGAAGGGCAUUUGAUCAGACAUGGUGUUUUGCGCCCUCUGCUCCUUGUGGGUGGGGGACUCUCGCAGCUCACUGGGCCAACAUCAGUUUUGGUGGUCGGACAAAUCCGUAGGAAUGUAGCUUACCUCGGUAAGUGUUAUAGCCUGCGGGAAUACGGCCAGCCGGGACUGAGGACUGCGACUUUUGUCAAGGAUGUUGGCAUAAUGGUUAUAUGCCGCCCGUCUUGA